rnacentral:misc_RNA from 1 species
UACGGAGGAUCCAAGCGUUAUCCGGAAUCAUUGGGUUUAAAGGGUCCGUAGGCGGGUUAAUAAGUUAGUGGUGAAAGUCUGCAGCUCAACUGUAGAAUUGCCAUUGAUACUGUUAACCUUGAGUAAGUAUGAAGUGGUUAGAAUAUGUAGUGUAGCGGUGAAAUGCAUAGAUAUUACAUAGAAUACUGAUUGCGAAGGCAGCUCACUAAUAAUGUACUGACGCUGAUGUACGAAAGCGUAGGUAGCGAACAGG